GGGAUUCAGCUCAGUGCAUCGGGGCGGAGCAGUGGUCUCAGGAUUCGUCCGGACCUGGCCUCCGUUCCCGCGUCCGGGCACUUUGUGCACUUUCUCCGGGUCGAGCGCCACGACCGGUUUCGCGGCGGUCAUGAGCUCGGCUGCAAGGUGACUCCGUCGCUUCGGGGAUGGAGAGUUAUAGGCAGCCGCAGUGGACACGUCGCGGGACCGAGGACGCUGUGCCGCGUCUCACGGCCUCGGGUCGUCGUUGCAGAGUCGAACUCGGCGCACUGCUCUGCAGAGCGCCGUAAGCGUCUGCGACGCACGGACCCGUACGCCUGGGAACGCCUAGGGUCAGUGGCGAAUCGGUCGGUCCUCCACCCGACCCGUCUUGAAACACGGACCAAGGAGUCUAACAUGUGCGCGAGUCAUGGGGUCUUACGAAACCCAAAGGCGCAAUGAAAGUGAAGGCCGCCUCCGGUUGGCCCAGGCAGGAUCCCGUCGCUUGCGGCGGGCGCACUGCCGGCCCGUCCCGACAGCAUCGUCUGCGGGGCGGAGCAAGAGCGCACACGUUGGGACCCGAAAGA
rnacentral:rRNA from 1 species